rnacentral:rRNA from 1 species
UACGGGUUGCAGCAGUGGGGAAUAUUGCGCAAUGGGGGAAACCCUGACGCAGCGACGCCGCGUGUAGGAAGAAGGCCUUCGGGUCGUAAACUACUGUCAGGAGGGAAGAAACUGUAUGGAAGUAAUAUGUCCAUGCACUGACGGUACCUCCAGAGGAAGCACCGGCUAACUCCGUGCCAGCAGCCGCGGUAAUACGGAGGGUGCGAGCGUUAAUCGGAAUCACUGGGCGUAAAGCGUGCGUAGGCGGCGCAGCAAGUCAGACGUGAAAGCCCUCGGCUCAACCGAGGAAUUGCGUUUGAAACUGCUGAGCUAGAGUCUCGGAGAGGUUAGGGGAAUUCCAGGUGUAGGAGUGAAAUCCGUAGAUAUCUGGAGGAACACCGGUGGCGAAGGCGCCUAACUGGACGAGUACUGACGCUGAGGUACGAAAGCGUGGGGAGCAAACAGGAUUAGAUACCCGUGUAGUC